AAUAGUAUACUACCCGACGACUGGCAUUCAUCGUUUACGGUGUGGACUACCAGGGUAUCUAAUCCUGUUUGCUCCCCACACUUUCGCACCUCAGCGUCAGUAUCGAGCCAGUGAGCCGCCUUCGCCACUGGUGUUCCUCCAAAUAUCUACGAAUUUCACCUCUACACUUGGAAUUCCACUCACCUCUCUCGAACUCAAGACUAGGAGUUUUAAAGGCAGUUCCAGGGUUGAGCCCUGGGAUUUCACCUCUAACUUUCUAAUCCGCCUACGUGCGCUUUACGCCCAGUAAUUCCGAACAACGCUAACCCCCUCCGUAUUACCGCGGCUGCUGGCACGGAGUUAGCCGGGGUUUCUUUACCAGGUACUGUCAUUAUCAUCCCUGGCGAAAGAGCUUUACGACCCUAAGGCCUUCUUCACUCACGCGGCAUGGCUAGAUCAGGCUUGCGCCCAUUGUCUAAGAUUCCCCACUGCUGCCUCCCGUAGGAGUCUGGGCCGUGUCUCAGUCCCAGUGUUGCUGAUCAUCCUCUAAAACCAGCUAUAGAUCGUAGACUUGGUAGGCCAUUACCCCACCAACUAUCUAAUCUAACGCGGGCCGAUCCUUCUCCGAUAAAUCUUUCCCCCGAAGGGCGUAUACGGUAUUACUCUUCGUUUCCAAAGGCUAUUCCGUAGAAAAGGGUACGUUCCCACGCGUUACUAACCCGUCCGCCGCUAGACCCGAAGGUCUCGCUCGACUUGCAUGUGUUAGGCCUGCCGCCAGCGUUCGUUCUGAGCCAGGAUCAAACUCU
rnacentral:rRNA from 1 species